UCAAUUCUGGUUAUGGUCCACCGAGAGCAAGACCACCACAGUACAAGAAGAUAUACGGGGAUACAUCUUUGCCAGUGGCAGCGGUGGCCUCUUCUUGGUCUUAAUGUUGUAGCAUUUAUCCUCUGUCCAAGUAAGAAGAACAGAUCAAGCUCCACCAUGGUGCUGUCAUUGUGGAGCGUUGAGUACGCAAGCCCUGCCGUGGCACCGUACGAGCCGAGCUUCUUCAACCAGUGGUAGUCGCUAGAGCAGUACAAGGAGGAGAGGAUUGACAUGGCAUUCAUGAAGGGGAGAAAUGGAUGCGGCCCUGAUGCAGUAGCGGUAGUGGAGUAUUAAAGAUGGAGAGGGCCAGGAGGUAGCCAUGGUUUCGACUACUUCAACUUCCCUUGCUGCCAUGUGAUGGAGGCGAGUUCACUGUGUCGCAGCCAUGGCAGCGUCCGCUCUCUUCUAGGACUCCAUGCUCUAGCUUAUUGUGUUCCACGGCCUCCUCACUAGUAGACUUGUAUGCGAGAAGGUCAAUCCGGGCAGUGCAGCAGGCGGUCCGGAGCGAGAUGAUGGUGACGAGGGUGCCAAAACGUUUGGACAUGAGCUGGAUGAGAAGCUUCCCAUGAUCAAGUGCUGUCUCGCAGUUGUGUUGUCCAGUAGCACAAGUGCUGUCCUCGGCGGCGCUUAUGAGAAGUCCAAGAAGAAGGAGCAAUCAAGUCUCUCAUCUGGAGGUAUAUCUUUCAAAGGCUUCCCUUGAGGAAAGAGGGCCGGUAUGGAUGACAUCCUCAAUGACCUUACCUCAUGGCGGCCCUUUUGACAAAGAGGUUAUGGCGGCUCUUCAGGAUGGUGCACUGGAUACUGAUAGUCUGAUGCACAUUGUGAACCACUUGGAAAGGUAUAGGUCUCUUAAUGGAUGAUUUCGUGUCUACCUUUAAUAUUUGUGCUGUGAAAUUUAUCAAAUUGUUUCCUUAUCUGCUGUUGAGGUACAUGCCUGGACUUUGGCCAAGUGGACAAGGGUGGAGUUGCAAGUUACCUUCACUGAUAUAUAUUUUUGUUCUUGGGGCAUUAGCCAAUUGGAGUAGGGCGAGUUUCUAUUUAGUGGGCAUGCAUUCUUUGUGUUGGCUGUUCAUGAAUAUGAAUGAAAUAUAUACAUACACAUCGACUGGACGACCAGAGCAGCAGCUAGACAUGUAUUGAGGACUUGGGAGCAUUUGGUCCCGCUUACAGAAGAACAGAUCAAGCGUAACCAUGGCACUUUCAAUGUGGAGCGUUGAGGAUGCAAGCCCUGCCACGGCAGCGGACAAGCCUAGCUUCUUAAACUAGUAGUAGUUGUUGGAGCAGUACCCAGAGGAGCAGAUUGCCAUGGUAGUGGUGUAGUAAGCUAGAUAUUGCCAGGAGGUAGCCAUGGUUUCCACUACUUCCUCAGCCCUAGAUGCCAUGGGAUGGAGGAGAGUUCACCGUGGCGCAGCCAUGGCAGUGGCGGCCUUCUUCUAGGCCUCCAUGCUCUAGCCUCCUCACUGGUAGACCUGUAGCGAGAAUGUCAAUCCGAUUAGUGCAGCAGGCGGUCCGGAGCAAGGAUGACGAGGAGGACUAGAUGGCACAUGGCAACAAGGGUAGCAGCUGUGGUCUGUAGCUGAUGCAGGUUGGUGCAUCUUACUUGGAUGGACGUCGAAGACUCUGGGAACAAUGGACGUCUUCAUAUAUACGGCUUGGUCGUUGAACAAUCUCAAGCAGCUGCAGCUUUGUUUCUAGCUCCUUAAUCAUCUCUACGAUAUAUAUGGUUGCAGCCGAGCUUUGAGAUUCGAGAGCAUCGUAACCUGGCAUGAGUGUGUUGUAUGUAACCGUCCUAGCUUUCAUUGAUGUUUUUACUUGUCGUUUGGUUGACUGCAUGACUAAAUGUCAAAAGAGUUGUGUUGUGUGCACUUUA